GCCCUCCGUGCCUCUCUUCCAAUCAAGGCCUCAUAUUUCUUUAUACCUGCAGGAGAGAGGGGCAGUGGAAGAGAAAGUGAGGCACCGGUUAAUAAGCCAAUGGUCGGAGCAGGGAAGAUGGGUUUGUAGGGUCCCUUAAUAAUUGCCUCUCAUCCCUAUCCUCUACCAUUAGGGAGCCCUCUCACCUCUUCAGCAAGCCAGGAUAAUAGCGAAAACCUUACAACGUUUGUACCACAUCUGACAGUUUUACAAAGCAGUAUUACAUAUCCCAUCUUAUUGCAGCCUCCUAUUGAUCUUGUUGGGUUGGCCUUGACCCCUUGGAAAAGCCUUCCCCUGAAAGCACUGGGAUCUGGCCCAUAAGAACCCUGUCCCACUGGGCCACUUUUACCCUGGGGACACAACUCUCACUGAGCCGCAGCUCAACCAGCCACAUUCCUGCUCUGCUCCUGAACAACUGGCCUCCUCUGCCAGGAGCCUUCCCACCCAUUUGAGACCUCUGCUAAUAAACAGAGCCAGGAAGGAGACUCACAGGCAAAUGGGGACCUCAGGUCUUAGCCCUUGUCCUAGGAUUAGAAAAAGGAAUGUCCAGAAGCUUGAGUUGUAGCUUAACCUCAAGGUUGACUCAUACAAGGCCACAAAACAAAGAGUCACAGUGUCCACGGAGCCACCCUGAUGCUCUACUUCUAUCUUUGAAAGAGGCCCUAUGACAGGGCUGUUGGGCAAGAUAUGAGCUGGGAUUUGGCCUUGCAUAAUCUGGCCUUGCAGCAUCCCGUUCAGAGCAAGUACGGUGCAUGUAAAGCAGCCUUGGCCCUCCCACAGGGCUUGGAGGGAGCAGCAAAGCCCUGGAGCAGAGGGCCUCAGCCCUGCAGGGCUCUGCGGUCAGGGGCGGGGGAGAGGGGGCCCAGAGGAGGGCAGUGCAGCUGACCCAGGCACAAGCCAUCCAUCCCAGGAGGCUCCCGGCAGCCCCUGGGGUGAGAAAGGCAGGCAGUGGGUAGCUCACUAGGCCCUCUCCUGGGGUUUGGGGAGGCAUUCAAAGGCAGAUCCUUCCUAGCACCAUCUAUCCACUCAUCUGGGAGCCAAGCAGGCCUGAGGUGGGUGCUCCUGUACUUAAGGCUAGAGAAGUUAGGCAGGAUUACAGAAUAAAACUUGGGUGUUCCUAAUCUCCAAGGAGGAGAGGUGGCUGGCAUUGGGGUCUCUGAGGCCGUGUACAAGGUCUAACUUCCUACUUAACCAAAAUUUUUUUUUAAGUCUCCUUUUGCCCUACGAGAGGUUCAGCAGACAUCCUGCCCAUACUCUGGAGUCACGCACAUCCCAUGACAGGUUUCCUCUCCCUGCCAAAGAUGGCCUUGGCCUCCUCAGAGACCCCCAUCCUCACCUCUUCUUCCCCUUUACUUACCCACAUUGAAGAUGUAGAGGGGCAGCCAGUAGAGGAAGGUGUAACUGACCAGCUUGGCAAAGAGCAGACACAAAGAGAACUCGACCACACCCUGGAGAGCAUAACAGAAGGCAUGAGGGAAGAGAUACAAGAGAUCCCUGGCCCAGGGUAGCCCCAGGGGCUGACUCAGCACCCCAGGGCUGCCACCACCUAGCCACAAAGCAACCUCAAGUACACCUCCAUCCAAUCCCAGUAAAAGCGAUGUGCCUAUGCUCCAGUGCUGUGUCAAGGCAAGCCUCCCAUGUUACUCCCCCCAAGUUGGCUAUUCACCCUAAGCAUCUCAUGUAAAGAAAUUCUGGAAGCCAUAGGUCACCCCGAGCGUCCCCCCAUCUCCUGACAUACAGCAGAGAAAUCUAGAGAGCCUCUCUCUUCCCUCCAUCCUGCAAGCUUCUCACCGGGAUCCGGAGCGCCCCGAGGAAGCUGAUGGCGGCAGGCUGAGCGCUCGGCUCCUUGGAGCAUCUGGCGGGGGUCUCCAGGCUGCUCUCCUUGUUAGUGUACGGACCACUCCCAAGGUCCUCAGGGUUGUGCUGGUUCUCUUCCAACCCAUCCUGAACAGAGAUGAGCCCUUGCUGUGAGCACAUUUGCGUACCACCUCCCACCAGCUGGAGGUAUAAGCCACGUGAGAGGUAGGGGUUCCCAGGCUGGAAGAGGUACACGCUCCUCUCCUGGACUGAACUACCAUCCGGCGAGGCCCGAUCAGGCUGUCGGGGAGCCAACCUGAGGGCCUGACACUGAGCCCGUGAGGUAACCCACUGAGCUCGUGGGUACACGAGCCCCUCCUCCAACUCCCUAGUCCCCUCUGGGACCUGUCUCUGAGGAUGGAUUGGCAGGGUGGGGGUCGGGCUGGGGGCACUCACACUCGUGUGGUGCUGAGGAGGCGUGCAGUCCACAUCUUCGGGGUCUGAAAAAAACAACCCGCUAAGAAGCUUCCUGGCGGGCCAGCCCCCGCUCCCUAAGGUGGCCAGUCUACUUCCCAGCACAAGGGAGCCUGCAACCCAGGUUCGAGAGACACAUUCUAAGUGUGGCUCCCCUAACAACCACCUGGGUCACUACUGCCUUGUGGACUUCCGUUCUCUUGCUACAAAGUGGCCACCCUGCCCGGCCUAGCUCUGUCUCCGAAGGCUGUCAGGGAAUGGGGAAGAGGACAGGGAAUGGGGAAGAGGACAGUGGAUGGGGAGUGUCCCGUCACCCCCACUCUCCCCUUCUCACACUUCAGAGUCAGCUGGCACUUGCCGAGCACAACUACAGGCCGUGCGUCCCAACUGUACGUCUCACUGACACCUUAACCAACCCCCAACCCUAGGAAGUAGAUGCUCUUAUUCUUAAUUUACAAAUGAGAAAACUGAGGCCCAGAGAGGUUGUCUGUCCCGGGUCACAUACAGGUCCUCCAGCUCCACGACCAGUAAUCCUCCCCCUCGAGCCAGCUGCCUUCUCUCAGACCCCGAGAGGAGAAGAGGGAGGUUCAGUUCUGAGCCCUGUGGGGAGGGAGGGAGGGGUCCGCUCACAUUCGAUGAGGAAGAGGAAGGUGAUGACACCCAUAGCAGCGGUGAUGAUGCCAGGCACCACAAACGACAGGCCCCACUGCUCAUUCACCCAGAUGCCAGCAAUCAGGGAGCCCAGGAUGUUGCCCACAGACGUGUGUGAGUUCCAGAUGCCCAUGAUAAGCCCCCGCCUGGAGGGGAGGGAGCAAUGGCGGGGAAAGGAAGGGGAGGAGAGUAAAUAAAUAAAUAAAUAAAUAGUCAGAGAAGCACAGGGUUCAUCACAACUGCCCUGGCCAAGUGCAAAACGCUGGCUGCCUCCAGCCUCCAAGCCCAAAGACAGCCAGUCAGGGAGGAGGCGGAAGGCUUGCCUAGCGUCAAGCAAGUGACAACGAGGCCUGGGGUCCUGCUCCCCUCUGCCAGCAACCAGAGGCAGCACACGCGGGGGCUUCCAGAUGGAGCUCUCCCUGUCCUGAGGACAUCAAGCCCCCCCACCCCCAACCCCACUAUGGCUGCUGGUCCUCCACCAGGGCCACUCUGCCUCCAGGGGACAUUGGCAAAGUCUAGAGAUUUUGCACUGGCCCAGCCCCAGGUGUGCUACUGGCAUCUAGUGGGUAGGUGCUGCUAAACCCCCUACAGUGUGUCAGGUGGCCCCACAGCAAAGAAUGAUCCAGGCCCGAAUGUCGGUAGGGCUGAGCUGGACAAUCUCUGCUCUAAAGCAACAUUUUUUUUUUUUUUUUUUUGCACGAAAGCCAGUUCAAGUACAAAAUAAUAAUAAUAAUAAUAACCACAAUAAUAAAGUUUUAACAGUCUCCAUUUUUAUCUUCAUGCAAGAUGAGAAUUUGUCUGUUAUGAGGCGAAAGCAUAACUAAGGUCGCCUGUUUUUAUGGAUUAAAACCUUAUCAAGGAGCAAAUCAGCACUGCUUUUUAGUCACCAAAUGUGACUAAACGUGAAAGUCAGCGAGACAGACACAGGUUCUAACCCUUCUCCCUGAAAUUAUACCGGGACCGUGAGUGACCUCCUCACUCCCCGCAGCCCUCCCAGGGUAACCCCCCUCUCCUCCUCCCUCGCCACACUCACUUUCCCUUCCCGAACCAGUUGCCAACGCAGGUCACCACAGAGGGCCAGCCUGUGGUCUGGACAAGCCCAUUACAGAUCUGCAGGGAGACCAGAAGUUAGUGGGACAGGCCUGGGCCGGGCAGCAAACUCCCAGCUCUGACCCCUCCCAGGCCGAGGGGCCUCCACGGCCCACCCUACAAGUGCCCUCUUCCCUCACACACACCCUAAUGCCACAGGUUGGUUUCUCCUCUGGCCCAAGAUCCUUCCCUGCAGAGACCGAGCCCCUCAGGCAUCUCAGGGACCUCGGGGUAGUGCUCAGUGCAGACUUAGGGAGGAUCUGUGUGAUCCUGAGAAGUGGAAGUAGGACCGCAAGGCUCAACAGAGGAGCACUGGGCUGUGAAGAAGUUAUCCCCAGCCCAAAUCUGCCACCACCUGGGGGUGUCUGGGAAGGACCAGCAGCCUCUGCAAUCCUUCCCAUGAUGGAGCAGAGGUCUGAAUGCAAGACAGAGGCUCGUACCUGGAUGAGCACAAAGUACCAGAGCAUGUGGAUGUUCCAGAAAUAUCCUAGGCCAAAGAGCGAGGUGAAGAGGCCACUGAGCAGCAUUCCAGCUGACAGGUAAUAACGGAGGGGGAGCCGCUCCCCAAAAAUCCCGCUGGAGAAGAGAGAGUAGGAUUUGUGGUCAGUCACCAUCUGCACUCCUCACCUCUGCCACAUACUUCCUCCCCCGCCACACCACUGACACAGCUCUGGCCCAGGUGACCACCAGUGACCUCUGUGUUGCCUGCCACACGCCAGGGAUGCUCUCUGGCCUCCUCUCACUGGACUUCCCUGCCUUAGCUGCCACUGCUGAACAUGCUCCUUAAACUGUCUCCGUGGCCUCCUCCCCUCGCUCCCCUCGGCUCACCACUGGACAUUUACUUUCCCUGGGGCACAGUUUCCUGCAUCAGUUUUGUGGUUGUAACUACCACCUAGAUAUAAAAUAGCUCCAACCACAUAUUUUCCAUCCUGAUCUCUCACCCUGCAGGAUCACACCCAGGUGCCUUCUGGACAUCUUCACUUGGGUACCCCCGAAACAUCUGCAACUCAACACCCUGAACUCUCCCUCCUCCUUCCCCACUCAGUCCCUUGGCCUGAGCCCUCUUCUGAGUGAGUGUGGGCUACCUCUGAAGGAUCCCAGUUCAGGACAAGCCGUAUUUGUCCAGCCACACCACCACCACUGUCAUCUGAGAGAAUAACCUCAGAAGGAGCAUCCAGGAAAGACUUUCCAGGAAAAGAAGAGUCUGUCUGCAAGGUGACGGAGGAGGCCGGGUGACCAAGGCCAGCCUCACCUUGACAACACUGAUGGGCUUCCUGGACAUGUGAUAACAGGUAUAAAUGAAGAAGGUGAGUAGCAGGAUGAAGCCUCGGAACCUGCAGGAAAAGGCAGGCAUCUGGGUCAGCAGGAAGUUGGCCUCAGCCAGAAGCUCAGACACGGUAUCCCCACGGGACUUGCUCUGGCAACCCCAGGGCCUCAGCACCACCAACUCUCUACCUUCAGUCUCCCCUCCAGACAGUUCCUUGGACAGAGGCCAAGGGGAGGGUAGGAACAGAUGCCCGGGGUCCAGGGCACUCAGGGAGCCCUAUCUCUCUGGUCCCACCUCCUGAGGCCCUUCAGCAGAGAUGGCUCAGUACCAGCACCCUAGACAACACAAAUUACGCCUGCCCCUCCCCCCACCCCCGACUCUUGUCACCCCCCACACCUCUAUUAUCCUUUAACCUCGCCAAGGUCAGGACGCCUCUGUGUCUGCCUGUAUGAGACAUGGUGGCAGCAAAGUAGAAUUGUUUUUAAUAAGAAUACCAGAAAUGAUGGGAGCAGGUGGGAGGCUGACACUGGAGAAGGUCUGUCUCUAAAGUGAGCUCAACUCCUCUCAAGCCUUGAACACAGCAGAGACAGCACCUGCUGCAGUCCAGUUAGGGCAGUAGCCAAAAGUGGGAAAUCUGGUGACACAAUCCACAUCCUCUUCCCAGGCCAGAUCUGGUCUAUCCCACUGGACAGAAGGAUCAUUCUUUCCAUCUGUGGCUCACACAUCACAUGUACCCUCUCCUACCCCCACUUCUCAUCCCAAGGACCGGUCUGGAAUGGAAAGAACAGAUCAUCCAGGCACCACUGAAGUUUCCACCACACGCCCGGCCACUGCCCUUCUCCUGGGAGCCUGGGAAAAGGGCCUCGACGUCCUCCUGAGUCAGCGUCUACGCCCCUAGCAGAGCAUCAGCUGAGCUGAGUCAGCCACCAGGAGCCAGGAAGUACUUGGAAAAUAGACCUCAAAACGGACCCCCAACUCAGGAGAAAAGGCUAGACAUUAGGAAAGAGCCAGAGCCUUGGUUUAUUCACGAUCUCAUGGAGAAGGGUGGGGAAGGGUGGGAGGGGCCCUGAAGCCCUUUCCAUCCCUUGGUUCCAUGAAUCUGAAGGGCAGGACACCGGAGGCUUACUCUGACGUCUUUAGAGAUCUGCCUCCAAACCCCAAACUCACUUCCCCCAGACAUGUCAUGAAGGCUACCGCUUGUGAAAUACAAGGGAAUUUCAGAAGAGCCUGAAUUUAGGUUGGGCUCCCAGGACCCUUCUUACCUCACCCUGGACUUGAGCUGCCUACCUGGGUUCUCUGACUCCGUUCUCUCCACUACCUCACAGUGUAUCUUCUGAAGAGAAUGUAGUUACACACCCUCCGUCACCUGGCUACACAUUUUUUCAGUGGCUCUCCAUUCUGCUAAGAGUGAAGUUCCAACUAUUUAGCCUGGAUUUUAUGCUUCUCUACAAACAGGUCCCUCUGGCUACCAGUUUCCAAGGUAGCCACAGAGGUCCUUCAGGGACUUGAGCCUCAGGGAAUGUGGGGUUACUCCAAGUGACUGUUACAGUGACUGACAUCGGAAGGCUUAGUGGCCUUCCAGGUCCCACCAAUCGGCAUAUGCUUCAUAAUUCCUAUGAAGGACUUGUUAAUAAUUCCAAGUUCAGGGACUUGUAAAAUCUGGGGGAAAUUCUCUGAGAAGGUGGCCCUUCUUCAAAGAGUAAUGGAUGAAAGAAAACUAUACCCUGAAGAUAACCGGUCUAGUGCCCUGGCUGGGAAGCUACUUGGUUCAGGAAAAAAGCUAAAAGCUUUGAGUGAUGCUUCUAAUGUAUUGUGUAACCAAAUGCAAGUUCCUAAAUCUUUUCUCCCUCUGGUUUCCUCAUCAGCUGCACAUGGAUGAUAGCACCGACCACAUCUAUCUCAAAGACAGGUGAACACAACAUUACUCUCACCCUAGCCCCUAGGUCCCUGUUGUACCAUCUUUAAGAUCCCCACCCCUGUCUGCAGGGCUCAGCUGAGCCUAUCCUGGCUGCUACAUGGAUACAGCCACUGACCAUGGAGACAAAUCAGAUUUCCUCUGGGUCUGAGAGAUCCUUGUAGCCCCACUGAGGCUCCCGACUCUGUUCUCUCAUGAUAGGCCCAGCAGUGAGGAAGGCCUUUGCCAGCUAGAGAGCCUGGUGUUGCCUGGGAAACCCUCUCAGGAGCUGGUGAGAGCCAACGAGGGGCCUAAAGGUCUAGCAUGGUUUCCAGCCACACUGCUCUUCUCACAUGCACUGCCCACCAUCACUCUGCUUCAACUCCAAGCUUGUGACGUGAUGGAGCAGAGACUCUGGCCUUCAGUGGCCUGCUCAUGUGCUCCCUUGGGAGCGGAUCCAGAGGAUCCACAGGGGCCCACACUGGUAUCCUCAUCUGUGAGAUUCCAGCCUGCCCCCCUCCAGCAGCCUGGCCUGCCCCUUCUCCCAGCUCUGACCCCAACCUCCAGUAGAAAACCUGAUACCCAAGAGAGCAGAAGGGCAUGAUUCUGGGGGUAGGGGGGACAGGAGGAUCAAACAUGUUGUGAUGCCAGGCCCGGCAUGGAUACCCUUUGGAACUUCCUUCCUGGACUCCAAAGAGGCAGUGGGAUGAGCUCAGAAUCCCAUGGCUACCCGGGCAGAGCACCUGUUCACCCAAUCCAUCUUCACUCCACAGUCUUCCUUCCAUUCCAUUCUGCUUUAGCAGCUAUUCUGAGGAAAAGGCCAAGGUGCCACAGUUCAAAGGGGACUAGGGUCAUCAAUCAGGUGAAGGGCUGAGCUAGGCUGAGGCAAAGGCUGCCAAACUCAUAGUCUCUCACAGGAAAGAUAGCGAUGGUCGCUUGGGCGUGAAGAAGUUUCACUUCUCUUCUCUUGAACCGUUUCUUCAGAAUCAAGAGGCCCCAGGAAGGGAGCGGGGAAAUAUACACAGCUGGCCUGGGGAGGUUGGGGGUGCUGUGAGGGGACGGAUGGCAGCCCGGGUGGCAGGCCAGGCUGGGCAAACAUGCUAGGCACGAAGGAACGUGCACGGUGAGGCCCCCAUACUGUUCCAGGUGAGGCCGGCUGUCCCACCAUCCUCUAAAUCCUUGUUAGCAAAAAGUGGCACUUUGCAGAGUCCCACCUCCCCCACCUCCCAACACUGGACACUCAGUGACUGGGCUAGGUGGAGAGGCUAACGAGCUAUCUCUUAACUGCUAGCUGACAGUCCAAAUACCGACCUUAUCAAGACUUUGCACUAGGACUUCUUCUGAGGUAAGGACAAGGAACAAUGUGUCCCAAAGCAGCAAGGGGUUAAAAACAAACAAAAACCUCAAAGGACCUAUUAUCACCACCAGCACAACAACAAAAAACUCCAAGAAACAGCACAGCAGUGGGAUAUUGGCCUUGGGAGACAGUGGAAAGGAGCCCCUUUCCCCAGUAGCUACCCAGUCAACACCCCACCCCCACCCGCAUACCUGCAUCCUGACUCCUUGCUUUGCGACCACAUCGCUACCCCCCUGUGAGGCCAGUCCCUCAUCAACCACUCCCUACCUCCCCCUGCCUCAGCCAGUGGCUGCUAGUAAGGGUCUGCUCAGGUAGCCAUGUGACAGGCUGGGCUGGCUGUGGCUGCAGGUAAGCUUGGCACUUGCCCUGAGGAAAGGGACUCGGUGGCCUGUCCUUGGAAGUGCCCUGUUCUGGGACUCAGCAAAUCUGCAAAGGAUAGAGGCUGGGAACAGUAAGAACAGGCCGAUGGCGAGAGUGCCACCACCCACCCCCUGCCAAAUUCCCCACUGCCACUGGGAGACACCCUGGUAGGGGGAGGCCAGCCUGGAACAGACAGCAUGGGGCAGAGCCCUGAGCCAGGCCUCCCAGCACACAGGAUGGGACAGGAACAGGCCACAUCUGGGAGCGCCCGUCAGGACUGAGGGCACAAACCCCUCUUGGGGGCAGAAAGUCAACCCAAGGAAUCCUCUACUUGUUCCCCUUCCCCCAGCUGGGUCUCAGGAGCUUGCUCGGAGAGAUCAAUUUGACUCAAGGCUUAGUCCCAAGAUCCUUUCCAGCCAUUGGCAGGUAGCCACAAGAAGCCACAGGAGUUUAUAGGAUAAAUGAAUAGAUAAGAUAUUGAUCACUUUAAGGAAAGAAGAAAGCUUUGAGAAGGAAGCUCUGUAAGGGAACCCCCGAGUGCUCAAACAGAAUGAAAAGACAAGGCUUUAAGCUACAGCUACAGCAUGAUGUUUUAUUUGGGCAAGUGGAAAACGUGGAAGAAUGUGAGGGUUGGAAGGGUUUGGAAGAGGUGGUCAACGCUAUGCAGACAGCACAGAUGGAAAUGUGCUGAUGGUGGAGUUGUGGUCCUGCCCAGCGAUCUUCCUCUCAAGAUUCUCUACGGGCCUAGCCCCACGCCUCACCCUCAUCCACCACUCUCCUGAGCAUGAAGGAUCCAGGGUAGGGGGCAUGAGCCGGAGGCCAAAAGGAGAACAGCAGUACUGCCCCUCCCCCACCACGACCCAAGGACCAACUCGGGCACAGCCAGAUGGGGGAGUGGUGGGCUUCGGGGACUCUACCCCUGGUGUCCGUCCUCAAUUCUGUUAUUACUUGGGGACAGCUCCACUCUGAUCUCAGCAUUCGGUUGGUACAGUUUGAAGAAGAAAUAAGGCCUUGACAGACCAUUCCAGACCAGUUCCCGGGCUCUAGGUCAGACAGCCCUGCCCAAAGCCAGGGAGGUACCAAUCUGCUCAGUAAGAAGGGAAAGAGGAAACAGCAGGGAGGAAGAGGAAGUAGAAGGCAGCAAUCACGAGUGGUGGUGGGGAGGGAGGGCAACCACCACAGGGUCAUGUGCUCUCAACCAGCUCUGACCCUGAGGGGCCCAAGGGGAUGGGGCGGGAAUAAUAAUUUUCCCUCCAGUUUCUCCUCCUGGAUCUCCCAUUCCUUUCCAGAGCAGCGCCUUGGCACCACAGCUCAUUUUAAGGAGCCUUUCUGCUGCCCUUCCCAAGCACUUCUUUGCAGUUACCAGGAAAAUCAGACAAGACAGCUGCUUCACAGCAUCUGGGGCCCCUGAUCUGAGGCCACGACGGAAUAGGGAAAAGAACGUCAGACUUAGACCCAAAGAGGCUGAGUCCUGCUGCUUGCUGUGGCCUUGGGCAAGUUGUUUAACUCUCUAAGCCUCAAUUUGAUCUUCUUUAAAUAAGAUAAUAAGCUCCUACACACAAGAUUGUUAUAGGAUUAAAUGAGAUGUAAUGGAUGUGGAAGCAUCUGGUGUACGGGUUCUUGGGAUGCAUUUGAAUGUCUUAUGUGUCUACUAAGGGUGGGCUCUAGGAUCUGGCAGUGUGAGCCCUCAGCAAACUCCGGAACGAGAGCCACUCAGUUUGCAGCCACCAGGCAGCCUCGGCCUCCAGCUCCCACGGGAAGGUUAGGGUGUGGGGAAAACAGUGACGUGGGAGUUCACAGCUCCGGCCUUCCUGAAGCCUUCCUCCUCCCUGUUCCUGCUCAUCCAGCCGGGCCUCCUCCCACAGACUUUUCUUCUCCUUGUCUCGAGCGGUUCCCCCUCACAGGGCCCCAGGAAAUGGGCCCAGCCCCGUAAGCACCAGCCACAGUCAUCUCUGGCAAGGUGCCCACAUUGCCGGCUGCCCCCAGACAUGCCCAUGCAGAUGCAAAGCAGAAUUCUGGCAGGGCACCAGCCCGGUCCAGGGCUGGGGUGACUCUUUCAGCCAUGAACAAGUUACCCACCCCAUCCUGACACAGAGGGGGAAGGGCAGUAGUAUUGGCUUCCUGGGCAGAGACCUCGCAGUCUCUGACUUUUGCUUGCACACUUCCGGCUGCCUGUCUCUCUCAGCCUCGUCUCCAGGGACUGCUCCUUCCGCACCCUACGCCCCUGCCAGCUGCAGUUACACGUUGUUAGUCCUGAAUAGACAGACUGUCUUCACUUCUGUGCCUUUGCUGGCUCCACGGCCUCCAGACCCAACAAGUCCAAUGCUACUUUUCCCUCCUGGCGAGGCUGGAUCCAUCCCUCCCUCCACAGAACUGCCCAAGCACUUAGCAAUGACCAAGGGCUAACUGUAUGCCUGGCACUGGGCUAAGGGCUUUAAAUACCUUCUCAUGUAAUCUCACCCAAACCCCGUGGUAUAGGUACAUCGUCAUUUCCAUUUUGUGGACAAGGACCUGGAGCCUUUUUACAUUUAUUUAUUUUUGGGAAACAGAGUGAGACAAAGAGUAAGCGGGGAGGGGCAGAGAGAGGGAGACACAGAACCCCAAACAGGCUCCAGGCUCCAAGCUCUGAGCUGUCAGCACAGAGCCCGAUGCGGGGCUCGAACCCGCGAACUGCGAGAUCAUGACCUGAGCCGAAGUCGGACGCUCAACCGACUGAGCCACCCAGGUGCGCCAGGACCUGGAGCCUUUAAAGGGUUAAAGUGAUUUGUGUGAGGCCAAAGGGCCCUGUGAUCUUUCCCCUCCCUCGCUCUCACCCAGAGGGCAGCAGAAAGACCCUGGGCCUGAGAGUCUGACAGACCUGGAUGCAAACUCCAGCCCAGUCACGUCCCUAGCUACGCGGUAUCGGACAAGCCACGUUACUUCUGUGCCUCCUUAUACCCAUACGUUAGGCGGCGAAACGAAUAAUCGCCUGGCAGUGAACUACAAACAAACAAUGUCUGGCACAAAGUAGUAGAAACAGUGAGCAGAAUAAGUCAAUAAUUAAUGUGUAGUCAAUGCUUAACAGGAGCCUGGAACUGGUCUGAGUACUUUACACACUGUACCUCAUUUGCUCCUCACGACAGUCUUGUGAGGUAGGUAUUACCAGUGUCCUCACUUCACAGACAAGGUAUCCAAAGCUCAGAGCCAGUCCACCCUCUGGUGUCCUAGUCUAGGGAGGUCUGCCUAGGUCAGCUUUCUUCACUUCUGCUUAAUUGAAAUGCCCUCCUUCGGGACCCAUGAAGUAGUAAGUCUGAAAACUGCACACAUCCUCUCUCCGGUUUGAGCCUCAGUUCCAUCCAGGAAGGUAGGACCGUGUUUUCAUCACUGCAGGCCUCAGAGUUCAAAAUAAUAAUGUGCCUCCAGCAGGAAGUACGUUAACGUUUAGUGUUUGAUAGGAGUCCAAACCUACACUCAUCGGGAAAGAAGUGAAAGAACACUUCCUGAGUGCCACUGGAAGUCAAGGAUUUUCACACAUCAUGAUUAUCCUCAGGAACCCACCUGGCUGGGGGGCAGCUGGAUGGCUCAGUUGGCUAAAGCAU